GUGUCAGCGCUGCAGUGAGCUCGGCCGGUAGGGGUGUGGAAGACUGAACAGAUUAAAUUACCACAACAUCAACCCAGGCCGCCAUUUUUACACCACUCAUGAGGACAGCGAAAAAAAUCCUGUGGCCGAGAAGACCGCGACGUACGAAGAAAAUCACGUACUGUGAAAGAAGAACAGGGGACCCGGGUGAGACCCCCGCCGCCCGUGUCUCCACACAACCAAAACAAGACUACUGUCUCCACUGCGGGUUUACAACAACGGGGAAAAAAUGCAGGACUGCCGUGGCUCCGCCUCCCCCGACGAGCCCCCCCUCAUCAACCCGAACCCCGCCCCUACACUCUGCGGGGUUCACCCGCCGACGAACACAGGGGCGCAGCGAGAGGAGAGUUCAUCCGCGAAAAGCGCGUUCACGACAACCGCGAGUACUGAUCUGUAGUCCAAGCCUCCCGUUUUGAAAAAGGGAAAAAUAUGCUCGCUGUAUCCACUCGCCGCCGUAAUGCCUU